rfam:Bacteroidetes bacterium RBG_13_42_15 RBG_13_scaffold_36516, whole genome shotgun sequence.
UUUUUAUUAAGAAGGGUGGAGAGAUUAGGCUCAGCGAAACCCUGGCAACCAAUCCCGAAUUAUCGGGAGAAAGGUGCCAAAACCUAAUCCCGGAAAACCGGGAGAUGAUAAAAA